CUAGACUGGUUCCCUGCUCUGGUUCCCAUACAUUGCUGUGAAUAAGUCCUACGUUUAUUGGUUUUGUUUACAAGCUUCAACAUCAAUAAAAUCUCCAGCACAUUUACAGCCUGUAUUGUAAACUACACUGAAAACAUACUUUACACACAAUUUUCAGCUCAGUAUUAUGUUAUCCUCUUCAUUCAAGUAAUAUGUGAACUCUUCUCGAAUGUGAAACGAACGAUCUACUCUGAACAGUAAUCCAAAUAUGGCACUGUGUAUUCGGUUGAAUCGCCAAUCAUUUCAAAUCAAGUUGAGCGGGUCUGCAUCAUUAUUUUGAUGAAGUUUGAAACCAGUGGUAAUUUUUUGACACUUCAUCUAGAUUUAGGAAGAUUCUUGCCUUGACAACUGCUCGAACUCCCGGGUUGGCAUGCUCUAAAGGUAUAGUGAAUUCAGUAUGCAGAUUGUUGAAAAGGAAACAUCAAGACGGGGCGAGGAAGACAACAAUACAUGAUUACCCACAUUGAGGAUCCCAGUGUUCUUUGUCUCAAGCUACUCAGCCUACCAUGAGAAAAUUAAAAGAUCUGUCAUGAAGAAGAUGCGGGUUUUCAACUUUCAUAUUAUAAAUG